rnacentral:lncRNA from 1 species
GUAAGUACCCACAUAGUACUUGGCAUGAGACUGUCCUUGCAAAUUAGAAAUACACCUGCAAAUACAUUUUAGAGAUGCUGAAAUUUCUCACUGCAUGAAGCUGACACAUAUUCAAUCAAUUUAGUAUGUUUUGAAGUCAAGAAAAUGCAAUUGCAGGUUCUUUCUUCUUUUUGUGGUGUUCAUGCCAAAGAACCCAGCUGGGUGAGUUUUGGAACAUGGCACUGUGACACCUCGGGGUCCUAUCUGCAGUGUGCCAGCCACACAGACACCUUGCUUGUCAGUUCUUCCCCCCCACCCCUCAACAGCAGUUGCAGUGUUCACAGCUCCCCACUUCUCAGCUAUGGUUCUUUACAGGACAGAAGAUCAUGUCGUUCCUGCUGUUUGCUUUUCAAGUAGUGUGUCAUGCACCAAUGGCACCUGCCAAGUACCAAGGAGGCAUUUGAGUUAUUUGUGUCAUCAUUCUCAAUGGAAUAAAUGGAAGCGGCUUGGGUGAGAGCA